UACGUAGGGGGCAAGCGUUGUCCGGAAUUAUUGGGCGUAAAGAGCGCGUAGGCGGUCCGAUAAGUCGGCUGUGAAAGUCAUGGGCUCAACCCAUGAAAGCCGGCCGAUACUGUCGGACUAGAGUUCGGAAGAGGCAAGUGGAAUUCCCGGUGUAGCGGUGAAAUGCGCAGAUAUCGGGAGGAACACCGGUGGCGAAGGCGGGUCUCUGGGCAGUAACUGACGCUGAGGAGCGAAAGCGUGGGGAGCGAACAGG
rnacentral:rRNA from 1 species